AUUGAACGCUGGCGGCAGGCCUAACACAUGCAAGUCGAGCGGAUGAAGGGAGCUUGCUCCUGGAUUCAGCGGCGGACGGGUGAGUAAUGCCUAGGAAUCUGCCUGGUAGUGGGGGAUAACGUCCGGAAACGGGCGCUAAUACCGCAUACGUCCUGAGGGAGAAAGUGGGGGAUCUUCGGACCUCACGCUAUCAGAUGAGCCUAGGUCGGAUUAGCUAGUUGGUUGGGUAAAGGCCUACCAAGGCGACGAUCCGUAACUGGUCUGAGAGGAUGAUCAGUCACACUGGAACUGAGACACGGUCCAGACUCCUACGGGAGGCAGCAGUAGGGAAUAUUGGGCAAUGGGCGAAAGCCUGAUCCAGCCAUGCCGCGUGUGUGAAGAAGGUCUUCGGAUUGUAAAGCACUUUAAGUUGGGAGGAAGGGCAGUAAGUUAAUACCUGGCUGUUUUGACGUUACCAACAGAAUAAGCACCGGCUAACUUCGUG
rnacentral:rRNA from 1 species